ACAGCACCUGGAGGGGGCAAUGAACCACUGGGAUAGGCCGGGUCUUGGAUGUUCACCUACCUGGCCUUGCUCCAGCUCCCAUGCCCCCUCCUGUCCCCCUCUAACCAAAACCCUAGAGUCACCCUGAGUCAGCCUCAAGACUAUGAGCAGUGUGAGGGCAGGGGCCUGGUCUCAUUCGUGUCCACAUGACCAGGGCAGCCAGACCUUCUGCUGGGCACUAGAAAUAUUUAAUGAAUGAGUGAAUGCAUGGAUGGAUGGGUAACUGACAGAUGGAUAGAUGGAUGAGUGAUGGAUGGGGGGGUGGAUGGAUGGAUGAGUGAUGAAGCGGGAUGGAUGGGGGAUGGAUGGAUGGACGCAUGGGGGAUGGAUGGAGGCAUGAGUGAUGGAUGGAGGGAGGAGUGACGGAUGGGGGGAUGAAUAGGUGGCUGAGGGAUGGGGAUGGAUGGAUGGGAAGCUGAGCACCUCUGUCUGUGUGUGGAUAGGUGGACAAGUGGGCAGGUGGACAGACAGAACAGUUCAGUGGCAGAGACCUAAACCCAGGUUCUCUGAGUCCCUACCAACAGAGGGAAGGUGCAGGGAGUCUGAGGGGAGGGUGCAGGGGGCAGGCCAGGGCCACUCCCAGCCCAGGGAGGGCUGGGGUAGGACUGCGGGGACUUCAGGGCCACUCACGGAUGUACUCAGUCCGGCACUGGGUCUCGGAGCUGGUGCAGUUCUGCACGUUCUGGCAGUCCUGGUUCUUCACCUGGGCUGUGCAGGAGUAGCACUGCAGGGCGGUGCCUGUGGAGGGGGGUGGCUCAGAGGCUGCCCAGCCUGCCCACCCAUGGGGCGAGGAGUGCUGUCUGGCCCCUUCCAGGCUGCUGGAAACGUGAAGGAGCAGCUGGGAACAAGAACCUGCCGCAAACUUGGACACCCCUCACCAGGAGGGUACUGCACUCGUCAGAGUCCACCCAGGGCAGCCCCCUGCCCACUCCCUGUCACGGUGCCUGGAACCCACCAGCAAUGUCCCGGCCUGCUGCUGAGGGUUUUAAAGCCCCAUUGAGAUGCCCACGCUCCUGGGAGGAAGGUAGUGACGAGCCUCAGCUUGGGGACUGGCUGACCCCACCCAGCAGCUGGUCCCGCUGGGCACCGGGCAGGUGAGGGCAGGGUGGCCAGGAUCCUUCCUGGAAUUUUCCAUGCCACCAGGCAUCAAGACCCUCCCAUCCUUGUCCCUAAUAGCCUGUGCUAUGAGACCGGGGUGGCCCCGGGCCUGGUCCUGCUUUGUCCCUGGGGUAAUUGCUUCAGCUGUCAUGAUGAUUAGGUCUCCCCUUGGUCAAAACAAUCAUGCUACCGGAUCCAAUCACCUCAGUGCCAGUAGGGCUCCAUGCCACCAGCCCUGUGCUCAUCACCACACACACUGGGGACCCUUGAGGUCCCUGGGGGCCAAUGUUGUGAUUCCCAUUUUCCAGAAGAAGCAGCUGAGGCUCUGAGAGGUUUAGUAAUUACCCAGGGACCAGGAGAGACCAAGCCAGGCCUGGAGUCCAGACUCAGCCCGGGCACCAGGACCCGGUCCUCUCAGGACCACUCCCAGCCCUGCCCCCAUUCCAGUCUUCCCGCCUUCCCUCUGUGGCGCUUCUUAACUUGAGGCUUUUUGCCCCUGUGCCUCCCACCCCGCCACAGGUUCUCUGUGCCUCUGUCUGUCUGUCCGCACCUCCAAGAGCCAGACCCUGCCCCACGGUGGUGGAGAGACACCUGUGCUGCCCACCUAUGUCUGCCUUGGGAGACAGCUGGGGGCCGACCGCGGGGUGAGUCCGACUGCAUCCUGGCUGCUCCAAGAGCUGCCCCGGAGGGGACGUGGGCAACGAACACCCCUCCUUCCCGCGGCUGCCUCCCUUUCCUUCCACCUGACCUCCCUCCUCCCUAUCCCACUCCUCCUCCUCUCUCUGCCCUCUGGGCUGGGUUCCCUCUCUGGAAGCCCCUCUGGCCUCCCUCGAUUGCCCCCACCCCUGCUCCCCCGGCCCUGCCCCGUGGCCGGCCGAGGUCUCACCUGGCUGCAGGGCCAAGCCAGUGAGCAGCAGGGCGAGGAGGACAGCCUUCAUGGUCACAGGCAGACAGUGGUGGAGCGGACCUCAGGGCGGCUUUAUAUAGCUUCAGCCCGCAAGACAGAGGCUUGGUGGUGCGAGGCCGGCACGAACAGGUUCCCGGGGCAGAGGUGAGGAGCCUGGGGCCCAGAGAGGGGCAGGAACUUGCUCAAGGUCACACAGAGGUUUGUGGCUGAAGAGGAAUUCUGCCACAGGAUGAGUCACACCUGCACUCCGCCUAUUGGAGCCACGUGACGCUCGGAUGGGACCGGGCUUUAGACGUUAGAGCUGACGCGGGAGUGAGUUAAGACUUUGGGCUGUUGGGAUGGAAUGUUUCUGCGUGUGAGCAGGACAGGAAUUUGAAGGCCAGGCACGGAAUGCUAUGGCCUGAAUCGUGUCCCCCCCACAGUUCAUAAUUUGAAGCACUGACCCCAACGUGAGGGUGUUUGGAGGGGGGUGACUGGGGUUAGAUGAGGUUGUGAGGGUGGGCCCCCAUGAGGGGAUCAGUGUCCUCAAAGAAGAGACUCCAGAGCUGCUCUCGGCCACAUGAAGACCCAGCGAGAAAGGGCCAUCUGCGACUGGGAAGCGAGUCCAGCCCGGAGCCCGACCAUCCUGGCAGCCUGGUCUCAGACUUCCUGCCCCAGAGGGCAAGAGAGAUGUUUCUGCUGUUUAUGUCACUCGGUCUGUGGGGUUUUGUUAUGGCAGCCCGAGCAGACUGAGACAAAUGGCCUAAUGGCCACAGUUCAGAUCUUAAAGACCACGGCCAGGACGCCCCGAGAGACAGGGUGUGAAGCUGGGGCUGGAAGGACCAGCAGUGGGGCCAGGCCCUGGGGGCAGCAAGGCAGCUGGAGGCAGACCCGUACCUCACAGGGGGUCCUUGCUAACAGAGGACCAUGAUCUCCUGGGGCUGCCACACAGUCCCACACUGGAAGAGACAUCAUUUUUGGAUUAGUUCUUUAUUUUAUGCAGAGUUCACUUUAAAAAAUAAAGAUGGUGCAUUAAUUGGAAAACCACAACUGAUUUCACCUUCCACUUUUGUGUCUUUUCCUUUAGGAGAGUCCAGUCAGAGAUCCAGAGGGUCAUCCGUGCACUGCCAGGCCACUGAUAGAUGGGGGAGAGCAUCCUCGGUGCCAGACCCUCCAUUUUGGGUUCUCAAAAUUAAGGCCAUGUCUUGCAAGCUGUGUCUUGAGGAAACUGAGUCC
rnacentral:lncRNA from 1 species